GGGGAGAGUGUCUAGAUUAUUCUUGAUUUGUAAGGAACCCUCCAAGGUUCCAGAGAGUUCCAUUGGUACCUAUAAAUAGGUGAGGGCCUCAUUUGGCCAAGACACCAAGCAAGUGAGUUCCCAAAGCACUUGUAAAGCUUCAUUUGAGCAAUAAAGCUUCCAUUCUUUAAGAGUCGCCUACUACGCCUUCUAAAGCUUCCAAGUCGUGAGCAUCUUAGCAUAGUAAGCU
rnacentral:lncRNA from 1 species